rnacentral:rRNA from 1 species
AAUCAACGCUGGCGGCGUGCCUCAGACAUGCAAGUCGAACGCGAAAGGUUCCUUCGGGGACCGAGUAGAGUGGCGCACGGGUGAGUAACACGUAGGUAAUUUGCCUUUGGGUGGGGAAUAACUCAGGGAAACUUGAGCUAAUACCGCAUAAUGCAGCGGCUCGACAUCGAGACAGUUGUUAAAGCGGGGGAUUCGCAAGAACCUCGCGCCUAAAGAGAAGCCUGCGGCAGAUAGCUAGUUGGUAAGGUAAUGGCUUACCAAGGCGACGAUCUGUAACCGGCCUGAGAGGGCGGUCGGUCACACUGACACUGACAUACGGGUCAGACUCCUACGGGAGGCAGCAGUCGGGAAUUUUGGGCAAUGGCGAAAGCCCGACCCAGCAACGCCGCGUGAAGGAUGAAAUUUUUCGGAAUGUAAACUUCGCAAGAACA